CCACCUGUGGCCUAGUGGGUAAGGUCCCAGUCUUGGGAACAGAGGGUCGGAGGUUCAAGCCCAGCUACGAGCG
rnacentral:tRNA from 1 species